AUUGAACGCUGGCGGCAUGCCUUACACAUGCAAGUCGAGCGGUAACGGGCCUUCGGGUGCCGACGAGUGGCGAACGGGUGAGUAAUGUAUCGGAACGUACCUUUCAGUGGGGGAUAACGUAGCGAAAGUUACGCUAAUACCGCAUAUUCUGUGUGCAGGAAAGCAGGGGACAGCAAGACCUUGCGCUGAUUGAGCGGCCGAUAUCAGAUUAGCUAGUUGGUGAGGUAAAGGCUCACCAAGGCGACGAUGUGUAGCGGGUCUGAGAGGAUGAUCCGCCACACUGGAACUGAGACACGGUCCAGACUCCUACGGGAGGCAGCAGUGGGGAAUUUUGGACAAUGGGGGCAACCCUGAUCCAGCCAUGCCGCGUGAGUGAAGAAGGCCUUCGGGUUGUAAAGCUCUUUCGGCCGGGAAGAAAUCGUAUCAGCUAAUACCUGGUGCGGAUGACGGUACCGGCAUAAGAAGCACCGGCUAACUACGUGCCAGCCGCCGCAGUAAGAC
rnacentral:rRNA from 1 species